AGCAAAGUAAGCUAAGUUUAAGCUAUUGGGCUCAUACCCCAGAAAUAGAUAGUAUAUUCUCUUUGUUG
rnacentral:tRNA from 1 species